GACUAUCGGCUCAUGAAGGACGCUAGCGGCAGGCUUAACACAUGCAAGUCGAGGGGUAUUAGUUUUCGGACUAAGAGACCGGCGCACGGGUAACGCGUAUGCAAUCUACCUUUUACAGAUAGCCCAGAGAAAUUUGGAAAUUUACCUCAUAGUAUAAUGACUCGGCAUCGAGAUAUUAUUAAAGUCACAACGGUAAAAGAUGAGCAUGCCCAUUAGCUAGUUGGUAAGGUAACGGCUUACCAAGGCUACGAUGGGUAGCCUGAGAGGGACCCCCACACUGGUACUGAGACACGGACCAGACUCCUACGGGCAGCAGUGAGGAAUAUUGGACAAUGGGCGCAAGCCUGAUCCAGCCAUGCCGCGUGCAGGGGUCCUAUGGAUUGUAAACUGCUUUUAUACGAGAAGAAACACUGCUUCGUGAAGCAGCUGACGGUAUCGUAUAGC
rnacentral:rRNA from 1 species